rnacentral:lncRNA from 1 species
GGAGAUGGUCUCUCCACGCAGGGGGGAAAGGGGACUCCCUUAGCCUCUAACCAAAGGCUUUAUAAGUGUUGUUUUUUGUUUGUUUGUUUGUUUUUAAGAUACAUUUAUUUACUGAGGGAAAGGGCAGAAAGAGAGGGAGAGAGACUCUCAAGCGGAUUCCCCGGUGAUUGCAGAGGCCUACAUGGGGCUCCAUCCCAAGACCCUGAGACCAUGACCUGAGGCACCCAGGUCCCCUUGUUUUGUUUUGUUUCAAUGAGGUAACCCUACAGGGAGGAGCUUCCCCUUUUACUUUGGGUUCAUCAUUUACAUUGAGGAGGACCCCAAGGGCAGGUGCACAUGAAGGCGAGACCCUCCCAAAGCCAGACAGGAGCCUGGGAGCGCUCCCUCUUGGAUGGUGCCUGGGCCCCUGCACCCUGACGGAUCUGCUCUCCCCUGCCAGAACCUGUGACCCGGCAGAGCUUCGCACCGCAACCUCACAUCUCCUGAUGGGGCGGCCAUCGAGCACUGGAGCUGGGUCCCUCCUCCCAGACUGGGAUCUCCUGACUCAGUUUCCCCACGGAGCUUCCCCUUGUCCAGAGCUGGGAGAGAGGGGACAGGUCUGAACGGGACGGGAGGGCCUGGGGACUUCACGUGUUGGGAGUCAGUGUGGGAAUGAGGUCUUCAUGGCUCCGUGUCCUUCCUCUAAGAACAGAGACACUCAGCGGUGACGUCACCACAUGCAAGGCAGGGCCCGGCUGCUUUGACUUGUGACCUUUGAUAUACUGAGGCCUGGCCCUGCCCCCUGCACCUCUGGAGCUUGACCAAGUGUUCCCUGCAACCCAUUUCUUACCACACAGUUCUCAGGCUCUCUCCACACAGGAGUCCUGAAGUUUGGGUCCCCUCCAACACCGAGGAAACACUGGGACUGGGACCCAGCGCCGGGCCUGUGAGGUAGGAAAGAUGUUAGGUUUCGAAGCCGACAGCCAAGAAAGAAUUCUUGAGAUGUCUUUGGUGCAAAAAGGUGGUUUUAUU